AUCGUCCCACUAUUUACCAAAUAAUUCCCCUGCCUUACAAUUAUUUCCCACCCCCAAACCUUUUCAGCAGCUAAAAAUAAUAAAAAGAAAUAAACACACUCACCUCACAUUCUCACCACGACUUUCUCAAAAUCAUGUCUCUCUCUCGACUCUCUAACCUCUAUAAAGCUCAUGCUAUCUUCAACAAAUUUAAUCGAGGUUGAAUCUGCUCUCUCUACAAAAUCUUCCAAGGUUAAAGCUGCUCUCUCGGUGUAUAAAGGUCGAAAUCUCGGUUAGAUUACAAGUCCAAUAAGAAGUAAACAUGGCAGCUCAGGCAAAUCAUAAGCUUCAGCACGGUGGUGAAUAAGCAUUCUGAAGCUGAUAUUUUUGAGAGCGCUGGCUCGUAUGCUGGAGUAUUUGUCUGGCAGUUUAUCAGCAAGUAUUAGCAAGUAUUGUGUGGACUAAUUCAAAUGACUUUGGUACCAAAUCCUUUGUUCGACCUUGCUGGUAUAAUGUGUGGACAAUUUGGAAUUCCUUUCUGGCAGUUUUUUCUUGCUACAUCAGUUGGAAAAGCAAUUAUUAAAACUCACUUACAGGUUUGUGAAGGUCUUUUCUUCACAAAAGUUUAUGCUCAGCUGGAAUUUGAUGCUAGCUAUGUUUAUGAGGAUGUUAAUCGCUCAAUUCAGUAUGUUCAUCGAAGUGGUUUGGUUCACAUAGGAAUUCUAUCUGAUCCCCAAAGAUACCUUGUAAAAAAUCAGUGUCUUAUGUAGUGUCACAUGUGUAACACGCAUGGCCAGCUUCUGCAAUUUCUAGGAACAGAGUUCCCAAACAGCAAAGAGCUUGGGAUAUUUUAAAAGAGCAAGGAAAGAAGCUUUUCUUGAUGACUAACUCACUAUCUUAUUUUGUUGAUGGAGGAAUGCGCUUUAUGUUGGAGGUGAUUAGUGUAAUAUUGCAUCUUGCAAAUUUACCAUGGAUGCCUCAAAAGUUUCUGACAAAUCACAAAGUGGAAAGGUCUAGAGGUGAUUUACUUCGGGGAUCACCUUUUCAGCGACCUAAGAGGACCUUCCAAGGCUGGAUGGCUGGUGCAAUAAUCCACGAACUAGAAGUAUGACUUCCAUCCUUCGCACAAGUUUGGGCCCAUUUGGGCGCAACAAUUCAAAGUAGCCGAAGCUUUAUCUGCACCAAAUUGACCUUAAAUAUUUUUAUAGGAAGUGUAGAAUUUGCUUACCAAACAAGACCUUGUAAUGUUUGAGGAACAAUGUCUAAUUCAUACUAUUUGAAAAUCUUUUGAUCCAGAAACCAUAAUUGUUGAUUAAGUUUGUGAUUAGUACUGAUUGUUGGUUUAAUAAUUUGUGAUUGAUACUACAAUUACUAGUGACUGGUGGUGUAUAAAACUGUGAUUAGUGCUUCUGCUUGUAGUGAUUACUGAUUUGCACAUGUGAUUUUUUGAAUUUA